AAAACCUUUUUGUCAAAUUUUUUAAGGGACCAAUUCAGUUGUAGAAACUCGAAAAGAGAAUAAUGUUGCAAAAUGGAGUAACCAGAUUUGGAAGGGAAGAACAGAACCGAACCUGAAUCUGGAAGCUUUUGGAUUUACAAGUAUGAAACACUGGUAUCUUCUGACCCAACGACGAUAGGCUCUGAUCACUUAUUGGGAAGAAGAAGUCAGUAAGUAUAGGGCUUUUGUUGGGAGAUUGGAGGUAACAGGUAGGAGGAGGAGAAGAAGGGAAGAAGCAUCCUAGUGAAUUAGCCAUUUCUGUUUUU